GGAAGAAGAAAAUGAUGGAGCACUCUGUCUUGAUUUCAGCGUUGUUGUUUUUUAAAAUUCUAUUUCAUCUAUUCAUAAAUAGUAGAUAUCAGUGGUUUUUAUUAGAAUUUUGUCGUGUCAUGUACGUACACGAAGGGGAGCGAAAAACGGAGGCUGGGCAGAUGCUCCACGAAGAAACACGAAGAAACAGGGUGCGAGCUCCUGCGUUCUGCUCUCGUCAUUAGUUGUGAAAUGCUCGAGUGUUGCGACUUCAUCAAAGGCAGAAGUCACAUAUCACUUUGUGUCACGCCUAUUGGAACAAUAUGUGUAAGAUUGGCUCAAGUUCAGCUCACCAAAAGCCGGAAGCGAUUUAAUAAGGCACACACUAAAUGGGAGUGGUGAGUGAUUGGAUCUGUUAUGGCAGUGCCAUUUAGAAGAAACCUCUCCUCGCUGCAGCCAUGUUGGUAAUAUCAGAUAUAACAAUAAAUAAAUAAAAGCUUCUUAAAUGCAUGGUGACUUUUCUUUCCCCUGAAAGUUUUACUUCUAUCUUUGCUGUUGUGAAAUCCUCCUGUGAAUUCAGGCUGCCAUGUCUGCUCCUUAUGUCUCUUUUAAGCCCUUUGUAGAUCCGGAUGUUCUCUUUAUUGAGGAAUCCACCAACAAAGCUGACCAAACUGUUUAUUUAGCAGUUACAAAAAGGCCCAUGCUGUGUGUGAAAUGUGUACGACUUUGUCUUUGUGUCUCUUGCUAAAUGUUCGUGAUUGUUAUUUAAACACUCCUCUCCUCUUCCUCUGUUCACCACAGGGCAGACAGACAGACAACCACACACUUUCACAACUUACUUAAAGACUAAUUUAUUAUUUUGUUUGUUUUUUUCAUUUCCAAUAGCCAAUUUCCUGGGAAAAUAUUAUAUUUUCAACUGUGAAUCACCAGAUUUGUUGUAUUUCUGUUCUGUGUACCAACACUGUUUGUUAUUCAUUUGUUACUCCUCUGUUCUCUGUUUUCUUGUCUCCCGUCUCUAAUCUGUUGAUCUAAUAAUGCAUUUUUGUUCACCGCAUCUUUCAUUUCUCUCAGACACACACGUAUCUAUGCUUUCCACUCCAGGUUAUUGGCUGUACUUGUCCUGCUGAUUUAACUAUAGUAAAACUCUGUUAUCUGUAAAUCCGGUGGGAUUUUGUCUUUCACUGCAUGUUGAAAAGGGGAAUUUAAAGGUUGACAUCUCAAUAUAAGUUGGACACGUCUGACAGCCUGGUCGUACUUCUUUUCCUCAAAUUUGACUGAGAGGCAGGCCGGAUCACUUUGAGCGGCAGGAGAAGGGGAGGCAUCAAGCCAGUGAGAGAGUGGUGACCUUCUGUCACAGAGCUGAGGCCCGAUAAUCUCACAUCAAAGUCUCAGCUCAGACUUGACUGCAAUGGGCCCUAACUCCCUGAGUCUGUAUAAAAGAAACUUCUUCAAUUAGAAGACAUACCGCUUUCUUUUCAGAUGAAACUUUUGAAAUGGAGCUAGUGCACCGAGCCAGUCGAGACAUAGUGGUCUAAGCUCAUUACAGCCACCUGGGGAGUUGGGGUGUUGGGCAAAAUUAAGUUUAUUCAGAUAUACCCAGGUGUAUGUGGAUAAACUUUUAUCUUGAUGACACAUAAAAGUUUGUGCAACCAUAAACUUCCUUUUUGAGUCUGCCCAUGCUUCAGACACAGCAGGAUAAGAUUGCAUCAGAACUGGCCAUAAAGAAAAAAAAACAAAACAGGUUUUGCAGGCUUUAGCUUACAUCAGUGACCUUUAAAUGCUUGCUUUUUGCCAGCGCAGGAAGCGUUCGGGUCAUUUAAAGCACUGUAACGCAUUGCAAGUGAGGCAGUGCAUUGAAAGUAUUCUGCAAAGUCAUAAUACUCUGCGUGAAUAGCAGCUCCUAUACAUAUUCUGUAUUUAUUGGAUUUAUAUUUAUGAUUAUUUUCAAAUUGUUAUUGAACAAUCUGCCAUAUUUUAGACUCUUAUUACAUUUCCUAA